CAUACACACACACACACACACACACACACACACACACAGAGCCCACUUUUGUAUAUGUGUGCAUGUGUGUUUGUGUGUGUGCUUGUGCAUGUAGAGGCCAUAAGACAACCUCGGGUGUCAGUCCUCAGUACUCAGCCAUCCUGUUUCUUGAGACCUCGUCUCUCACUGGGAACUGAGGACCCCUUUUUGGCCUAUGCCCUUGUCCAGGGAGCUGCUGGAAUCUACUCCACACCUCCCCAGCGGAAAUGCAUAUCCCCAGCUUCAGGUGUGCACUGGGGAUCCAACUCGGGUCUUCACAGCCGCAUGGAAGGCAGCUGACCUGCUCGACUAGGCUGUCUCCCCAGCCUCAGCUCCCAUACUCCUAGCAUAAGUAAGCUCUUCACCUGACUCGCCUCAGCUCAUUUUGUUUUUAUACUUAAAGAUAAAGGUGGGGCUGAAAAGAUAUGUCAGUGGUUAAAAGAGCUUGCUUCUCUCAUUGAAAUGGAACUCAAAAACUCAACUCUGGGACUUCAAAGCACAAUCAAGCUUUUACAAAAGAACUCAUACCUUAACUAGUCUCUUCAGGUGUUCACUACAGGUGCAGGAGGAGCUCCGAGUUCUUAAUCUUUUCUUUUCUGAAUGCAAAGGCAGUCUUUCUCACAACCCUGCGCACGUCUGUCUCCAGGGUGUGUCAAGCCUAAAGCAUCAGAAGAAGGGUCUCUUGCCGUGUAGCCUUGGAUAAUCUUGAACUUGUAAUCCUGCCUCGAUGCUACCAUUGCUGGAAUGACUGGGUCACUCAUAAAGCCACAGACAUCACAGGUCAGUCCUGGCGUUGAAGGGAAUAAGGGUGGCAGUGAAUGAACACUUUUCCUUCACCUGCCUCAGAACAGCCACCCCUCCAACCCCCCUCGCUGCAAAGUUGGUUCAACAGAGCACCCCACAGCAUGGACAAGAUUCUUAACCUCAAGAUGUCUCUGUGGUCACAUGUGCUAUGUUGUCCUGGAGCAACGACUCAGGGCCCCUUGCCCUUGUAGAGAGAAGCUACUGUCCAGAGCUUGUUAGAACUGAAGGAAAAACACAAGGAAAAGAAGCUUAUGCAAGGUAUGGGGGGGUGAACUUGAGUGUGCCGGAUACUGCCAGAAAAGAGGGAGGGCACAAGCAUAGGGUGGAUGCAAGCCUGUUCUUCUCCAGUAGACACUUGGGGGAAAUUUUAUGAUGUCAAAUAAGUAUUCCUGGGCAUAAGAGGAGCAGGAAACAUGGAGUGGGAUUGGUGAUACCUUUCUCCAUCAUGAAACACAAAAGGAGAGUAAUGUGCAUGGUUUAAGAAGCAAAACCAGUGCACGUGAAGCCCCCUUUGUCUUUAGAGAGCAUGCGUGUGAUGGUUUAUAUAUACUUGACCCAGAGACUGAGACUGUUAGGAGGUGUGGCCUUGUUGGAGUGGGUGUGGUCUUGUUGGAAUGGAUGUGGCCUUGUUAG